AAAGUAGAAUUUUUUAAAAAAUAUUUGAUCUGCAAUCAAAAGAAGAUGUUUAUACAUCCUACUUUA
rnacentral:tRNA from 1 species